CGAGGAGUUACUGCAAGUUCUACCGUCCGAUCCAUUCGAACAACUCGAUGUGGCACGCAAAAUCACCUCCAUUGCACUUUCGACACGUGUCAACACUCUCCAAUCAGAAGCUUCGGCUCUCCGCGCCGAACUUGCCGAGAAAGACGGGCUCAUCGAUGAGCUUCAGGCUCAGGUUGAGCCUCUUCACGCUGCACUUUCUGAAGCCGCUGAUAAGCUUGCACUUGCUGAACAAGAUAAGGUCUGAACCGGUUUCUAAUCUAAUUAUCU
rnacentral:lncRNA from 1 species